GCGGAAGCCUGAUGCAGCGACGCCGCGUGAGGGAUGACGGCCUUCGGGUUGUAAACCUCUUUCAGCAGGGACGAAGCGUAAGUGACGGUACCUGCAGAAGAAGCGCCGGCCAACUACGUGCCAGCAGCCGCGGUAAGACGUAGGGCGCGAGCGUUGUCCGGAUUUAUUGGGCGUAAAGAGCUCGUAGGCGGCUUGUCGCGUCGACUGUGAAAACCCGCAGCUCAACUGCGGGCCUGCAGUCGAUACGGGCAGGCUAGAGUUCGGUAGGGGAGACUGGAAUUCCUGGUGUAGCGGUGAAAUGCGCAGAUAUCAGGAGGAACACCGGUGGCGAAGGCGGGUCUCUGGGCCGAUACUGACGCUGAGGAGCGAAAGCGUGGGGAGCGAACAGGAUUAGAUACCCUGGUAGUCCACGCUGUAAACGUUGGGCGCUAGGUGUGGGGGGCCUCUCCGGUUCCCUGUGCCGCAGCUAACGCAUUAAGCGCCCCGCCUGGGGGGUACGGCCGCAAGGCUAAAACUCAAAGGAAUUGACGG
rnacentral:rRNA from 1 species